rnacentral:rRNA from 1 species
AAGAUGGCGACCGGCGCACGGGUGAGUAACACGUAUCCAACCUGCCGAUAACUCCGGAAUAGUCCUUUAAAAAGAAAGAUUAAUACCGGAUAGCAUCGAAUAUCGCAUGAUAUUUUUAUUAAAGAAUUUCGGUUAUCGAUGGGGAUGCGUUCCAUUAGUUUGUUGGCGGGGUAACGGCCCACCAAGACUACGAUGGAUAGGGGUUCUGAGAGGAAGGUCCCCCACAUUGGAACUGAGACACGGUCCAA